rnacentral:rRNA from 1 species
UACGUAGGGACCGAGCGUUGUCCGGAAUCAUUGGGCGUAAAGGGCGCGUAGGCGGCUCGGCACGUCCGUUGUGAAAUCGCCCGGCUCAACUGGGCGGGGUCAGCGGAUACGGUCGAGCUUGAGCAAGCUAGGGGGUAAUGGAAUUCCCGGUGUAGUGGUGGAAUGCGUAGAUAUCGGGAGGAACACCAGUGGCGAAGGCGGUUACCUGGGGCUUUGCUGACGCUGAUGCGCGAAAGCGUGGGGAGCGAGUCCGG